AAAAUAAGACGUGAGAAAACUCGAUGGACCAUAAACAGGAUCAUCAAAAAUAACCAAGAUGAUGUCUUUCGACCAAAGAGACCAUCCCUGGAAGUAUUUCAAUAAACUAAUGGCUAAAGCAACGCCGGCCUCAUUAUAUUGCCCAAUAUGAUCUUUCCAAGGGACACAUAGGAGUAGAGACUCAGUAGCAUCACCUCUAGGAGCACGUAAAGUUGUAAUAAAAUUCGAGCCGUUAAACUCCGAUCCGGGAAUAUUAAUUGAGUAGUUUUGUUUCU